rnacentral:ncRNA from 1 species
AAGAAUUCUCAGGGCGGGGUGAAAUUCCCCACCGGCGGUAGUUCGAAAUAGAUCAUAUAAAAAUGGCUUAUUUUGAAAAGCCCGCGAGCGCUUAACUAAUUUCACGUUAGUUAAGGUCAGCAGAUCUGGUUCAGUGCUUUUUUACAUGAUUCCAGAGCCGACGGUUAUAGUCCGGAUGAAAGAGGAUCAGU